AUGAACGCUGGCGGCGUGCCUAAUACAUGCAAGUCGAGCGAACAGACGAGGAGCUCGCUCCUCUGACGUUAGCGGCGGACGGGUGAGUAACACGUGGAUAACCUACCUAUAAGACUGGGAUAACUUCGGGAAACCGGAGCUAAUACCGGAUAAUAUAUUGAACCGCAUGGUUCAAUAGUGAAAGACGGUUUUGCUGUCACUUAUAGAUGGAUCCGCGCCGCAUUAGCUAGUUGGUAAGGUAACGGCUUACCAAGGCAACGAUGCGUAGCCGACCUGAGAGGGUGAUCGGCCACACUGGAACUGAGACACGGUCCAGACUCCUACGGGAGGCAGCAGUAGGGAAUCUUCCGCAAUGGGCGAAAGCCUGACGGAGCAACGCCGCGUGAGUGAUGAAGGUCUUCGGAUCGUAAAACUCUGUUAUUAGGGAAGAACAAAUGUGUAAGUAACUAUGCACGUCUUGACGGUACCUAAUCAGAAAGCCACGGCUAACUACGUG
rnacentral:rRNA from 1 species